UACGGAGGGUGCGAGCGUUGUCCGGAAUCACUGGGCGUAAAGGGCGCGUAGGCGGUUUGGUAAGUCUUAUGUGAAAUCUACAGGCUCAACUUGUAGUCUGCAUGAGAAACUGCCGUGCUGGAGUGUGGGAGAGGUGCGUGGAAUUCCUGGUGUAGCGGUGAAAUGCGUAGAUAUCAGGAGGAACACCUGUGGCGAAAGCGGCGCACUGGACCACAACUGACGCUGAGGCGCGAAAGCUAGGGGAGCAAACAGG
rnacentral:rRNA from 1 species